UAUAUUUUUGUCGAGCCUGCGACUUUUGUCGCAGAAAGCUCGACAUAGGGAUAGCGAUCCGGCGGCGGCGGCAGCGUUAGCUAACUUCUUAAAAACUUUAUAUUUUAGAAGAUGGAAGACCUGGAUGCUUCAUACUUUGUAUAUGGAUGCCUCAUGUUACGAAGUUUCAGUCAGUCACAUGUCCAAUGUCCUUGACCUCAUUUUCAUGGUUCAGUGACUACUUGAAAAAAAAGUUCAGAUUUUUUGUAAUGUUAAAUUCUCUCUUAUUAUAAGUAAUAGGAUAACUAUAUUUGGUAUGUGCGUACCUUGCAAGGUCCUCAUGCCUGUCAGACAGUUUUCACUUGACCUCGACCUCAUUUCAUGGAUCAGUGAACAAGGUUAAGUUUUGGUGGUCAAGUCCAUAUCUCAGAUACUAUAAGCAAUAGGUCUAGUAUAUUCGGUGUAUGGAAGGACUGUAAGGUGUACAUGUCCAACUGGCAGGUGUCAUCUGACCUUGACCUCAUUUUCAUGGUUCAGUGGUUAUAGUUAAGUUUUUGUGUUUUGGUCUGUUUUUCUUAUACUGUAUGCAAUAGGUCUACUAUAUUUGGUGUAUGGAAUGAUUGUAAAGUGUACAUGUCUAGCUGGCAGGUGUCAUCUGACCUUGACCUCAUUUUCAUGGUUCAGUGGUCAAAGUUAAGUUUUUGAGUUUUGGUCUUUUUUUCUAAUACUGCAUGCAAUAGGUCAGCUAUAUUUGGUGUAUGGAAUGAUUGUAAGGUGUACAUGUCUAGCUGGCAGGUGUCAUCUGACCUUGACCUCAUUUUCAUGGUUCAGUGGUUAUAGUUAAGUUUUUGUCGAGCCUGCGACUUUUGUCGCAGAAAGCUCGACAUAGGGAUAGUGAUCCGGCGGCGGCGGCGGCGGCGGCGGCGGCGGCGGCGGCGGCGGCGUUAGCUAACUUCUUAAAAGCUUUAUAUUUUAGAAGGUGGAAGGUCUGGAUGCUUCAUACUUUGUAUAUGGAUGCCUCAUGUUACGAAGUUUCCGUCAGUCACAUGUCCAAUGUCCUUGACCUCAUUUUCAUGGUUCAGUGACUACUUGAAAAAAAAGUUAAGAUUUUUUGUAAUGUUAGAUUCUCUCUUAUUAUAAGUAAUAGGAUAACUAUAUUUGGUAUGUGCGUACCUUGCAAGGUCCUCAUGCCCGUCAGACAGUUUUCACUUGACCUCGACCUCAUUUCAUGGAUCAGUGAACAAGGUUAAGUUUUGGUGGUCAAGUCCAUAUCUCAGAUACUAUAAGCAAUAGGUCUAUUAUAUUCGGUGUAUGGAAGGACUGUAAGGUGUACAUGUCCAACUGGCAGGUGUCAUCUGACCUUGACCUCAUUUUCAAGGUUCAUUGCUCAGUGUUAAGUUUUUGUGUUUUGGUCUGUUUUUCUUAAACUAUAAGCAAUAGGUCAACUCUAUUUGUUGUAUGGAAGAAUUGUUAGCUGUACAUGCCUGCCUAGCAUGGUUCAUCUGACCUUGACCUCAUUUUCAUGGUUCAUUGGUCAAUGUUUAGUUUACUUGGUUAAUGUUAAGUUUAUGUGACAGUUGUAAUAAAGCUUUAUAUUUAGGACUAUCAACAUAAUAUCAAUGAUUAGUAAAGAAGGCGAGACAUUUCAGCGUGUGCACUCUUGUUGUGUUUUGGUCUGUUUUUCUUAUACUGUAUGCAAUAGGUCUACUAUAUUUGUUGUAUGGAAUGAUUGUAAGGUGUACAUGUCUAGCUGGCAGGUGUCAUCUGACCUUGACCUCAUUUUCAUGGUUCAGUGGUCAAAGUUAAGUUUUUGAGUUUUGGUCUUUCUUUCUAAUACUGCAUGCAAUAGGUCAGCUAUAUUUGGUGUAUGGAAUGAUUGUAAGGUGUACAUGUCUAGCUGGCAGGUGUCAUCUUACCUUGA